rnacentral:rRNA from 1 species
AGUACCGUGAGGGAAAGGUGAAAAGAACCCCGGGAGGGGAGUGAAAGAGAACCUGAAACCCUGCACUUACAAGCUGUAGGAGCACAUUAUUUGUGUGACUGCGUACUUUUUGUAGAACGGGCCAACGAGUUACGUUGUGUAGCAAGGUUAAGCACUUAAGGUGUGGAGCCGUAGCGAAAGCGAGUCUUAAAUGGGCGUCCAGUUACCCGACGUAGACCCGAAACCAGGCGACCUAUCCAUGAGCAGGUUGAAGCGAAAGUAAAAUUUCGUGGAGGACCGAACCCACGUACGUUGAAAAGUGCGGGGAUGACUUGUGGAUAGCGGUGAAAUUCCAAUCGAGCCUGGAGAUAGCUGGUUCUCCCCGAAAUAGCUUUAGGGCUAGCCUCAAGCUUAGAGAAACGGAGGUAGAGCACUGAAUGUCCUAGGGGGUAUUGCACUUACCGAAGACUAUCAAACUCCGAAUGCCGUAUUCUUUUGCUUGGGAGUCAGACUAUGGGUGAUAAGAUUCAUAGUCAAGAGGGCAACAGCCCAGAUCGUCAGCUAAGGUCCCUAAAUGUAAGUUAAGUGGUAAAGGAUGUGGAAUUGCACAGACAACCAGGAUGUUGGCUUAGAAGCAGCCACUCAUUUAAAGAGUGCGUAAUAGCUCACUGGUCGAGUGAUUCUGCGCCGAAAAUUUCCGGGGCUAAAACUUACUACCGAAGCUACGGCAUCAUUAUGAUGGGUAGGGGAGCUUUCUAUGUGGCUUGAAGCAUGACCGUAAGGACAUGUGGACUGCAUAGAAGUGAGAAUGUUGGCAUGAGUAGCGAGAUGUGGGUGAGAAUCCCACAGGCCGUAAACCCAAGGUUUCCAGGGGAAGGUUCGUCCGCCCUGGGUUAGUCAGGACCUAAGCCGAGGCCGAAAGGCGUAGGUGAUGGACAACAGGUUGAUAUUCCUGUACCACCAAUAACCGUUUGAGAAAUGGGAUGACACAGUAGGAUAAGCUAACCGCACUGUUGGUUAUGUGCGGGCAAGUAUUGAGGCAGUUCCGAUAGGCAAAUCCGUCGGAAUAAUGCUGGGGUACGAUGCGGAGCGAAAUUUAGUAGCGAAGUAGCUGAUUUCACACUGUCGAGAAAAGUCUCUAUCGAGGUUAAAGGUGCCUGUACCGCAAACCGACACAGGUGGGUGAGGAGAGUAUCCUAAGGCCAGCGAGAGAACUGUUGUUAAGGAACUCGGCAAAAUGACCCCGUAACUUAGGGAGAAGGGGUGCCUUCGAAAGAAGGCCGCAGAGAAUAGGCCCAAGCGACUGUUUACCAAAAACAUAGGUUUCUGCUAAGUCGCAAGACGAUGUAUAGGAGCUGACGCCUGCCCGGUGCUGGAAGGUUAAGGGGAUCUGUUAGAGCAAUCGAAGCAGUGAACUUAAGCCCCAGUAAACGGCGGCCGUAACUAUAACGGUCCUAAGGUAGCGAAAUUCCUUGUCGGGUAAGUUCCGACCCGCACGAAAGGCGUAACGAUUUGGGCACUGUCUCAACAACAGACUCGGUGAAAUUGUAAUACCGGUGAAGAUGCCGGUUACCUGCGACAGGACGGAAAGACCCCAUGGAGCUUUACUGUAGCUUGACAUUGAGUCUCGGUGCUACAUGUACAGGAUAGGUGGGAGACUAUGAAGCAUGGACGUCAGUCUGUGUGGAGUCAUCCUUGGGAUACCACCCUUGUAGUACUGGGAUUCUAACCAGAGGCCAUGAAUCUGGUCUUGGGACACUGUCAGGUGGACAGUUUGACUGGGGCGGUCGCCUCCCAAAAAGUAACGGAGGCGCUCAAAGGUUCUCUCAGUACGGUCGGAAAUCGUACGAAGAGUGUAAAGGCAAAAGAGAGCUUGAUUGCAAGACAUACAGGUCGAGCAAGGACGAAAGUCGGACUUAGUGAUCCGGUGGUUCCGCAUGGAAGGGCCAUCGCUCAACGGAUAAAAGCUACCCUGGGGAUAACAGGCUGAUCUCCCCCAAGAGUCCACAUCGACGGGGAGGUUUGGCACCUCGAUGUCGGCUCAUCGCAUCCUGGGGCUGAAGUAGGUCCCAAG